rnacentral:rRNA from 1 species
UACAGAGGAGGCAAGCGUUAUUCGGAAUCAUUGGGCUUAAAGCGCGUGUAGGCGGCUUGGUAAGCGUCCCGUGAAAUCUCACUGCUCAACGGUGAAACUGCGGGGCGAACUGCCUGGCUUGAGGUUGGUAGAGGUGCCUGGAACUCUAGGUGGAGCGGUGAAAUGCGUAGAGAUCUAGAGGAACACCAGAGGCGAAAGCGGGGCACUGGGCCAAUACUGACGCUGAGACGCGAAAGAGUGGGGAGCAAACGGG